UUAAACGAAUCGAGUUAUUCGAGUUAAUCGAGUUAUUCGAAUCAACUUAAAUUUUUUUUCGAAUUUCGAGUUCGAAUCGAGUUUAGUUUUCGAAUUCGAAUAACUCGAAUAAUUCGAAUAUCAAACUAUAAUAUUUUACAUUUUUACUCCAAACUCCCAAACCUUUUUACUUUUCCCUUAAAACUUUUACUCAUUCCCACUUUCCCCCCAAAACUUUUACUCCCCUCCCCUCCCAACCCCCCAAUCUACCCAAAAUCCAUUUCCCACCAAAAUUUUACUCUCCCAUUUAUUUUUUCUCAAAAUUUUACUCCCAAAAACCCUCAAAACCUUUUAUUUUCCCCCAAAAUUUUUACUCCCUCCCACUUUUCCCCUAAAACUUUUAUUCCCUUCCCAUCUCACCUCUCAUCUAUCCCAAACCCUCCCCCCUCCAAUUUUUUUUAAAUAUUUUCCCUCCAAAAUUUUACUCCCCCUAUUUACUUUCCCUCAAACUUUUAUUCCUAAAACUUUUUUAUUUUUCCCCUAAACUUUUACUUCUCACCCU
rnacentral:lncRNA from 1 species